rnacentral:rRNA from 1 species
CCUACGGGAGGCAGCAGUGGGGAAUUUUCCGCAAUGGGCGAAAGCCUGACGGAGCAACGCCGCGUGAGGGAUGAAGGCCUCUGGGCUGUAAACCUCUUUUAUCAAGGAAGAAGAUCUGACGGUACUUGAUGAAUAAGCCACGGCUAAUUCCGUGCCAGCAGCCGCGGUAAUACGGGAGUGGCAAGCGUUAUCCGGAAUUAUUGGGCGUAAAGCGUCCGCAGGCGGUCUUGUAAGUCUGUCGUUAAAGCGUGGAGCUCAACUCCAUUUCGGCGGUGGAAACUACAAGACUAGAGUGUGGUAGGGGCAGAGGGAAUUCCCGGUGUAGCGGUGAAAUGCGUAGAUAUCGGGAAGAACACCAGUGGCGAAGGCGCUCUGCUGGGCCAUAACUGACGCUCAUGGACGAAAGCUAGGGGAGCGAAAGGGAUUAGAUACCCCUGUAGUCCUAGCCGUAAACGAUGAACACUAGGUGUCGGGGGAAUCGACCCCCUCGGUGUCGUAGCUAACGCGUUAAGUGUUCCGCCUGGGGAGUACGCACGCAAGUGUGAAACUCAAAUGAAUUGACGGNUGAGAGUUGCGAGACGACACGAGGGAGAGG